AGCGAACGCUGGCGGCGUGCUUAACACAUGCAAGUCGAGCGAAGGUGUUUCAAGGGUAACCUUGAGAUACACUUAGCGGCGGACGGGUGAGUAAUACGUGGAUAACUUACCUCUAGGCCUGGGAUAACCCCGGGAAACUGGGGCUAAUACCUGAUAAGACCACAUUGUCUACGGACAAAGGGGUAAAAGGUGGCUGUGCAAAACAGCUAUCGCCAAAAGAUAGGUUCACGUCCCAUCAGGCAGUUGGUGAGGUAAUGGCUCACCAAACCAAAGACGGGUAGCCGGCCUUGGCGGGUGAACGGCCACACGGGGACUGAGACACGGCCCCGACUCCUACGGGAGGCAGCAGUGGGGAAUAUUGGGCAAUGGGCGCAAGCCUGACCCAGCGACGUCGCGUUGGGAAGAAGGCC
rnacentral:rRNA from 1 species